AGGACAUAGAAAACAGAGGGUGCUGUGCUUGUUUUGUGCAAGUGCUUAGCGGAUUAACUGUCCAUUUGAUAAUACUAUGUUAAGUGUCUCUAGGUUUGAAUCAUUUUGGGCGUUUUGAUACUUCAAGUAGUUAGGAUAGGUUACAUUAUAUUAAAAAUACUGUUACAGGACGAUUGGUUAGUUUGGGCAAGCUGCAUUAAACUACAAUAAAAUAAAAAGGGCAAUUGGUAACGUUAUUAUCAUGUUAAUUUGGCAAUUCAUAACUGUGUACAUGAUUUUACAGUAUGCUUGACUUAGAUAACUUAACCAACCGCCCACCAUUUUUUUUUUUUAAAGUAAUUUGUAUACAACCCAAUCCAACCGACAUUUUAAACUAUAUCACAGAAUUGUAUAAACCUAACCAAAUGACUGGUUAAAAUUGUUGAUUUGUUGAAGUUUCUUAACAUCACCAUAGAGAAUAAUUGAUGAAAAUGUCAUAAAUAGAAAAUGGCAUGUGGGAAUUUUAUAUCCCCCCCUUCCUUCUCUAAGAAAAGUGAUUUUCUUUAAAAAUGACCCACAAGUAGGUUAGUAUUAAAAAAAGAAAUCUUUUUUAAAUUUCUUAAUAAACUCCUGCUUUUAAUAUUUUUUACUAACUUUCUAUAAGAAUCAAUUAAGAUGAAUAAACAUAUUGGUACGAUCUAUGUGUGAAGAACUGGGUUCGUAAGUGAUAGUCCAAUUAAGUUUUAUUAAUUACUGAUAUUUACAUUCCUAAUAAAUAAUUGUACUAAAAAUGUCAGAUCACCAAUCACUGGCACUUAAAAAUGUUUAUUCGCAAGUCACUCAAUGCCUGUCAAUUUCCACAGUUCGCACUCCUCACUUAGUCCGGUUAAUUUAGACCAAAAAAUGAGAGUGAAGGUACAUAAAAUCCCAACAAGCUGAAAAUAAGUAAAAUUGUUCAAAACAUAAUUAUAAAUAAUAUUUAAAAGUUCCCCAUCAUUCCCAGUGUAUGGAAAAAAUUUUAUUCAAGGUCAAAGGUCAAAAAAAUGAGUUUUUCGCGAUUUUCAGCAAAACUGUAAGUUUUAUCAUAAAAGUACCUUAGACAAAAAUUGUAGAUCAUAAAAUUAUCUAUAAAAAUGUAUCAAUACUUUUUUUCCUACGAGCCACCGAGUUGGAAGUUGGUCAACAAUAUAUUAGAGCCAGUUCAAACUUUACUCCCACCUGUGCCGUAAAAACUGCUGAACACAAUUUUUUGCAACUGCAAAAAGGGAUGCAGUGCUAAAUGUGGCAUGCACAAAUUGUCAAGGCCGGUCAUGCUCUAAUGUUGAAUCACAAACAAUGGAGGAUUCGUUUGAUUCCGACGAAGUGUCAUGCGAUACAUCGCUAUUGACGCAAUUUACUUGCAUCCAAAAUGAAGAUGAAGAAGAACAAAAAGAAUUUGAAACUUACGAAUCAGGCGAAUGAACUUCAACACUUUUUUUUAAUUUACAUCGCUUUUAUCUUUUCCAAUCUUUGAAAAUUUCCGUUAUUUUGCAAUAGUUUCACAUUAAACAGGAUCACAACUGAACCGUGGAGUAGGCCUACUGGGGAAACCACGUUUAAAAAAACGCGCUUAGUACACUACCUCAUAGGUGGCAUGGAAACGUGUGCAUAUUAUGACGAUAACAACUUUUAUAACUUUUUGAAUCGUUAUAUCUCAGAAACUGUGGCUCAUAGAAAAAAAAAGUAUUGAUACAUUUUUUAUAGAUAAUUUUAUGAUAUACAAUUUUUGUCUAAGGUACUUUUAUGAUAAAACUUACUGUUUUGCUGAAAAUCGCGAAAAACUCAUUUUCUUGACCUUUGACCUUGAAUUAAAAAAAUUCCAUGCACGGGAAUGAUGGGGAACUUUUAAAUAUUAUUUAUAAUUAUGUUUUGAACAAUUUUACUGAUUUUCAGCUUGUUGGGAUUUUAUGCACCUUCGAAUGUCUAAAUUGACCGGACUAACUGAAGCUAGGCUCAACAGUAGUUGUAAUUGUAAUAAUUUACAAGGAUAAACAAGGAACGAAACACAACAGGUGAACCAGUGUACCCUGCACACACAUUUUGCGCAUUGUUCAGGAAGCUAAGCGGCAGAGAUUUGCAAUCAAAACUGGGGAGGGGGGAUGAUUAUAAUUUUAAAUAUAAUUUUUAAGUAAUAACUAUUAUAAAAAUAUUUUAGUCAUUUUAUCUUUAUUUAUUAAAAAAGCCCUUAAAUUAUACAUGUACAUAAUGUCCUUAUACCUGAUGAGUCCUGUUCAGUAAAUAAUAUAAAUACAUAAUAUAAUGAAAUGUGGUAUACAAACUUCAGAAGAAAGAAUAUCUACAAGACGUUCUCUCAGUGGAAACUAACAUUUUUAAGAAGUCAACAACACAUGCAGGGGGGAGGAUGCACACAGCUGUGGAUGAUGCGCUGGCCGGCUUGGUCAUGACCAAUCCCGGCGUGAUGCUUCUGGAGGCAGAAAGAGCAGUCAUGAGGCGGGACCACAGGCAGCUGAGGGGCCGGGUGAUGUUGGUGUCCGGGGGAGCCUCGGGUCACGAGCCGUACCCAGCCGGCUAUGUGGGAUCAGGAAUGCUCACGGCGGCAGUCGUGGGAGACGUCUCCGCCGCCCCGCCGCCCCUGGUCGUCGUGAAGGUAGUUCGCGGUCUCUUAGAGAACCACCCGGAAGGCGUGCUGCUCGUGGUGGGCUACCGCCCCGGAGACCGACUGAGUUUCACUGUCGCUGCCGAGAUUUUGAGUUCCGAGGGCCUGCCGGUGAGGUUGGUGCUGGUGGAUGGAAUGACGGGAGCUGUGUUGAUUUUUAAGCUGGCGGGAGCGAUGGCUGAGAAGGGAGCCUCUCUUGAAGAAUUAUUCACGAUGUGCUCGCGAGCAGUCGCAGACCUCAUCUCUAUUGACGACAUUCCGGAACUAUCCUCUGUACUUCACCACUGCAAGUGCGUCCCAGACAUUCAGAAUGAAGUCAUUGAUGAAGGUGAAGGGAUUAAUUGUGAAAGAGCAUCAGUUGUGAUUACACCUGAAGUAGUACAAACAGUGCAAAAACAAUUCGGUAUUUCUUCCCCGCCAUUUCAGGACUUACUGGUCACCCUUCUCGUGAACAACAUGGGUCAGGCGCAUAAAUUACACGAACAAGCAUUCGCAAUGAAAACUACAAAACAGUUUCUGAGCCACGGUUACAAAGUGAAACGGUUGUACUGCGGAAGUUUCGCGACAUCCUUCAAAGGAAAAGGGUUUUCGGUGAGUGUCCUGAAGAUGUGUGGGGACUUGACGGAGCUGCUGGAUGCCCCCACGAGCGCGCCCGCCUGGCCUCGAACUCCGUGUCCAGCCUGCUGGGAGGCGGGAGUAGCGUCGGACCAGCUGGCCUCUCCUGGCAGGGGGGUGGUGGACGCGAGCGAAGGCAGCAGAGUCGCGGAGGUGGCGAACUCGAGGGUCCUCCAGAUAGUGCUGUGCACAGUGCAAGCGGUGGUGGCGUGCCGGGAGCAGCUCGACAUGCUGGACUCUGGCGAGGGUGACGGGGACUGCGGAACAACGCUCGGGCGGGGAGCGCAGGCGGUCAUGAAGGCUAUCUCGGAUGGGCAGCUCAACUGCGAGUCACCAUCUGCACUUCUGUCCGGCCUCAGUUGCGUCUGUGGGAGAACCAUGGGAGGAGUGUCCGGAGCUCUGUACUAUGUGCUCUUCUCGGCUGCAGCACAAGUGAGAUACUGUAACUGCUCGCUUCUGUUGGCACAAAAUUUGUGGAGCUGGGGGAGUGUGCUGGCUGGACGGUCGACAGCUGGACUGCAGCGCUGAGGGCGGGAGUGGCGGCCGUGAGAAAGCACGGUGGAGCCGCUGACGAGAGCAGCACGAUGCUAGCCAGCCUGGCUGCUGCAUCUGCAGCUGCGGACCGGUCUGCGGCUUGCAGGCCCGGCGACGGCGUUGCUGCCGCGAGAAGGGCGGCAGAGGCAGCCGAGCUGGCUGCGCUACGGACUUCGGGACCCAGCCGGCCACGCCGCCACCCAGACCCGGGGGCCCACGCCGUGGGCAUCUUGCUGAGGGCCGUGUGCGAGGGACUGCAGAGGCCGUGCCACAGAGCUGGACCGUGACUGGCUGUACUAGUCUCCAGGACCUAGCAGGCCCAUGCCUUGGGCAUCUUGCUGAGGGCCGUGUGCAAGGGACUGCAGAGGCCGUGCGAUAGAGCUGGACCGUGAAUGGCUGUACUAGUCUCCAGGACCUAGCAGGCCCAUGCCUUGGGCGUCUUAGAGCCGUGUGCGAGGGACUGCAGAGACCGUGCGACAGAGCUGGACUGUGACUGGAUCCGGCGAGCCAUGACGCCACCCAGAGUCGUAUACACCUGGCUGUGCGUGCCAGGUACUGCAGCAGCCAUGCAGCUAAUCAGACUGCAAGUGAGCUGGUGCGAGAUCUGAUGCUACGUGGAUUACAGCUUCCUCGAGUUAAUAACUGUACGCCGAUCAUGCGCGGUGCUAGGAAGGCUGGGGCGGGGGCGAGGCCGGGGGGGAGAACCGGCCCGCGUCGUCCCCUCGCAGCUCCUGCUUGGAGCGCUUGAAGCGCCCGUACAGCGACGAGUACGGCACGUUGAACAUCUGCGCGGCCAGGCGCACGCUCAUCUCGCCCGAGCUCACCGCCUCCAGCGCCACGGCCAUCGCGUCCUCCGACCAGGGCGUGGGGUUGCCGCGGGACAGCUCGAUGCCCUCGCGCCGGCACCGCCCGUACAGCGUGCCCAGGGGGAUGCCGAACUCCGUGGACGCGCGCUGCACGGAGGUCCUGUCCGUGCGGAUGGCCUCCAGGGCGCGCUCCAGGUCGUCCGAGGUCCAGGCCGUGGGCGCCGUGCAGAAGGACGCUGCCAGGCGUAUCCCUUCCUCGUGGGCGAUCUUAUACAGUCGACCGCUCGGGAUGCCUGCGACCGACCACGGGCACUUGCGUGGAGAGCUUCCGCGCUUCCCACAGAGCAAGCUUGCAUUUCUGACACUGCUAACAACACAAGUUGUAAAUCUCAAAACACUGCCGAGUCUCAAAGACAUCAAGAUUUGGGAUGAAAUAUUAUAUUACCUACACACUAGUAUUUGGCAGAUAUUAUGUGAAAAAAUCAAUAAAUUGAAUUCCUCUGAGUAA